rnacentral:tRNA from 1 species
ACCUGGCUGGCUCAGUUGGAAGAGCACAAGACUCGUGAUCUCAAGGUCAUGAGUUUGAGCCCCAUGCUGGGUG